rnacentral:rRNA from 1 species
AACGAACGCUGGCGGCAUGCCUAACACAUGCAAGUCGAACGAGACCUUCGGGUCUAGUGGCGCACGGGUGCGUAACGCGUGGGAAUCUGCCCUUGGGUGCGGAAUAACUUUCCGAAAGGAAUGCUAAUACCGCAUAAUGUCGCAAGACCAAGUAUUUAUCGCCCAAGGAUGAGCCCGCGUAAGAUUAGCUAGUUGGUGGGGUAAAAGCCUAACAAGGCGACGAUCUUUAGCUGGUCUGGGAGGACGAUCAGCCACACUGGGACUGAGACACGGCCCAGACUCCUACGGGAGGCAGCAGUGGGGAAUAUUGGACGAUGGGCGAAAGCCUGAUCCAGCAAUGCCGCGUGAGUGAUGAAGGCCCUAGGGUUGUAAAGCUCUUUUACCAGGGAUGAUAAUGACAGUACCGGGAGAAUAAGCUCCGGCUAACUUCGUGCCAGCAGCCGCGGUAACAC